rnacentral:rRNA from 1 species
UACGAAGGGUGCAAGCGUUAAUCGGAAUUACUGGGCGUAAAGCGCGCGUAGGUGGUUUGGUAAGUUGGAUGUGAAAGCCCCGGGCUCAACCUGGGAACUGCAUCCAAAACUGCCUGACUAGAGUACGGUAGAGGGUGGUGGAAUUUCCUGUGUAGCGGUGAAAUGCGUAGAUAUAGGAAGGAACACCAGUGGCGAAGGCGACCACCUGGACUGAUAACUGACACUGAGGUGCGAAAGCGUGGGGAGCAAACAGG